rnacentral:rRNA from 1 species
GAUGAACGCUGGCGGCGUGCCUAAUACAUGCAAGUCGAGCGAACAGACGAGGAGCUUGCUCCUCUGACGUUAGCGGCGGACGGGUGAGUAACACGUGGAUAACCUACCUAUAAGACUUGGAUAACUUCGGGAAACCGGAGCUAAUACCGGAUAAUAUAUUGAACCGCAUGGUUCAAUAGUGAAAGACGGUUUUGCUGUCACUUAUAGAUGGAUCCGCGCCGCAUUAGCUAGUUGGUAAGGUAACGGCUUACCAAGGCAACGAUGCGUAGCCGACCUGAGAGGGUGAUCGGCCACACUGGAACUGAGACACGGUCCAGACGCCUAAGGGAGGCAGCAGUAGGGAAUCUUCCGCAAUGGGCGAAAGCUUGACGGAGCAACGCCGCGUGAGUGAUGAAGGUCUUCGGAUCGUAAAAAUCUGUUAUUAGGGAAGAACAAAUGUGUAAGUAACUAUGCACGUCUUGACGGUACCUAAUCAGAAAGCCACGGCUAACUACGUG